rnacentral:tRNA from 1 species
GCCUUUAUGGCUUAGUGGCAGAGCGUCGCUCUCGUAAAGCGAAGAUCGGGUGUUCGAUCCACCCUAAAGGCA